GUAGCAAUACAUCGGCGGUUCUAGUGGCGCACGGGUGAGUAACACGUGGGUAACCUGCCCUUGAGUUCGGGAUACCCUUUCGAAAGGAAGGCUAAUACCGGAUACGUUCCUCGGAUUGCGAAAUCUGGGGAGGAAAGGUGGCGCAAGCUGCCGCUCUUGGAGGGGCUCGCGGCCUAUCAGCUAGUUGGUGAGGUAACGGCUCACCAAGGCUAUGACGGGUAGCUGGUCUGAGAGGACGACCAGCCACACGGGAACUGAGACACGGUCCCGACUCCUACGGGAGGCAGCAGUGGGGAAUUUUCCGCAAUGGGCGAAAGCCUGACGGAGUGACGCCGCGUGGGGGACGAAGGCCUUCGGGUUGUAAACCCCUGUCAGAGGGAAAGAAGGGUGUCGGCGCGAUAACCGCCGGCACUUGACGGUACCUUCAGAGGAAGCCCCGGCCAACUCUGUGCCAGCAGCCGCGGUAAGACAGAGGGGGCAAGCGUUGCUCGGAAUCACUGGGCGUAAAGGGCGCGUAGGCGGGAUGGCAAGUCGGUCGUGAAAUCCCUCGGCUCAACCGAGGAACGUCGGCCGAUACUGCCGUUCUUGAGGGAUGCAGAGGAGACUGGAAUUCCCGGUGUAGCGGUGAAAUGUGUAGAGAUCGGGAGGAACACCGGUGGCGAAGGCGGGUCUCUGGGCAUUUCCUGACGCUGAGGCGCGAAAGCGUGGGGAGCAAACGGGAUUAGAUACCCCGGUAGUCCACGCUGUAAACGA
rnacentral:rRNA from 1 species